UUAACUGAAACCAAAUAGAGGUGUAUUACUGUUAAUAAUACUAUUGAAUUCAUAUUCCAGUUAAG
rnacentral:tRNA from 1 species